CCGAGAGUUGGACUUCGGUCCGCACCCUCAACCCUUUGCUUACCUGUUUGUUGCUUUGGCGGGUCGUCGGGCGUCCUUGCUCCUGCGGGGGCGGGCCGUCCCGCCGCCGACCCACGCGGUUGGCGCGUGCCCGCCAGAGGUUCCACGAACUCUAUGUCAAUGUCAGUCGUUUUGGCCCUCUGGGUCUUAUGAUGUUAAAUCAUGUCA
rnacentral:misc_RNA from 1 species